rnacentral:lncRNA from 1 species
CCUGGACCCUGGGUCCUGGGUCCUGGGAGCUUGCCACCCAAGGCUACUUCUCCCCUCUCUGGGAAGCGCCUUGAUCCCUGGCCAGACAACCCAGAUGCAAUAUCUUCAUGUCAGAAGCAAGUGUGCAGAGGGCUUUAGAGGGCUGCAGUGGGGCUCCAUGGGUCAUGGCUGCUUGCUUUGACUGAGGGACGCUGUGGGCCUGAGCUCCAGAACGUGGUGUCUCCCCAGGACUGACCACCACUCAGUGUGCUUCCUGGGCUAUUGGGGACCUCAGGCUGCCAGGUUCCUGGUGGUCAAAUCCACUUGCUCUAGAUCUCCUUCAGGGAGUCCAAGUCCUUCAAGAGGACAUCCACAGCUACACCCAGGCCUGACCCAUGGGGCACUCAGCAAGCAUCGAAUGCAUGAUGGACACAAGGGUGUGGGAGCUUGGCUGGGGGGUCACAUGGAGGCAGAGCCCACCCAAACCCAGUGGGAGCAAAGGUGGAAAGAAAACUCACGUGUCCCAGGGGGCCCCUGGUGCAGCCCAGCUCUGAGCCCUGAGCCGAGGACAUGUGGAGAGUCCUCCGAAAAUGCAGAUGCCACAUGAGAAGCAGGAGCGGCCAGACCGUGUCCCUUAUGGGAAAACUACACAUUACCCCGUUUUUUCAGACACCACAGCAUGCUGCGCUGCCCGUGAGGGACCCUCUGCUACCAGCGGUCUCCUCUUCCUCUUGGCUACAGCUUCCUUCCGCGGCCCCUACAGAGCAAGCCACAGGACUUCUGUACAGAAUUAGCCACAGGGCUGAUGGGCACAGAGCUGGCCUUGGGACAAGGUCUGGCCAGCCCCUGGACCAUGCACACAGGACCCAUCUUCCAGGGCCAGAGUCCCUGUGCCCUGGCCAGCUUCCCCUCCCAGGGCACAUUUCUCCAACCUCUGUGGCCAGGUUUCUCCAGCCACCACCCCUGUGCUGGCCACCCAUGAUCUUCCACUGAGCGAGACCAUUGUCCAUCACGGGGACUAUUUGCCAUGUUCCCCAAAACUACUGCAAACUGCCUUGAUAAAAUUGCUGGGUAAAACCCACCUCUGCCCCCAGGAGGACAGGACCCAGUCACGCGAAUGCGAGCACAUGUACACACACACACAUACAUACAUGCGUGCACACCCCGCAGGCAUGGCCACCCAUUCGCACCUCUGAGGCUCCUUGCCUCGGGCUGUUCUUCCCAAUGCCUCUCGCCUUUAUCCUCUAGGUCAGCCCCCAAGUCCCUGUGGGUGGAGACUCAAAUCAGGGAGAGGCUGGCAGUGGGUCCCAAGCUCCUCUGCAGGCUGGAGAAUUGGAGAAUCAUUCCUGUUCCCAGCCUGUGUGGCUGGGAUGAAGGAGGACCCACAGUAACCCGUUGGGUCACCUUCCCCUGCAAGUGGGGGGAAGGAUUCUAACCAUACUCACCCAGAGCCCUCAAGCCCAGCCGAGAAUGGCCAUGUCGGCUCCACAGUCUCUUGGUGGGCCUCCUGGAGGCCAGCUUCCCAGCCAGAGAAGGAGUGAGUCCAGGCUUAGGGUGGGCAGGACAUGGCCACAGUUCCUACUAUUGGUGAUUGCAAGGUCCAGGGUCCCCUGG